GAAUUCUGGACACUGGGCGAAAGCUUGAUACAGCAAUGCCGCGUGCAGGAUGAUGGCCUUCGGGUUGUCAACUGCUUUUGUUCGGAACGAAAAGCUCAGGGUUACUACCCAGGCGCUAUUACGGUACCGUCAGAAGAAGCACUGCCGCACUACUUACCCGCCGCCGCGGUAAUACGUAGGGUGCAAGCGUUAAUCGGAAUGACUGGGCGUAAAGCGUGCGCAGGCGGUUUUGUAAGACAGAGGUGAAAUCCCCGGGCUCAACCUGGGAACUGCCUUUGUGACUGCAAGGCUAGAGUACGGCAGAGGGGGGUGGAAUUCCGCGUGUAGCAGUGAAAUGCGUAGAUAUGCGGAGGAACACCGAUGGCGAAGGCAACCCCCUGGGCCUGUACUGACGCUCAUGCACGAAAGCGUGGGGAGCAAAC
rnacentral:rRNA from 1 species